CCUACGGGAGGCAGCAGUGGGGGAUAUUGCACAAUGGGGGAAACCCUGAUGCAGCGACGCCGCGUGUGGGAAGACGGUCCGCUGGAUUGUAAACCACUGUCGCCAGGGACGAAGAUGACGGUACCUGGGGAGGAAGCGCCGGCUAACUACGUGCCAGCAGCCGCGGUAAUACGGAGGGAGCAAGCGUGGUCCGGAAUGACUGGGUGUAAAGGGAGCGUAGACGGCAGGGCCAGUCUGGAGUGAAAGGCGGGGGCUCAACCCCCGGACUGCUCUGGAAACUGUACGGCUGGAGUGCAGGAGGGGUAAGUGGAAUUCCUGUUGUAGCGGUGAAAUGCGUAGAUAUUAGGAGGAACACCAGUGGCGAAGGCGGCUUACUGGACUGUAACUGACGUUGAGGCUCGAAAGCGUGGGGAGCAAACAGGAUUAGAUACCCUUGUAGUC
rnacentral:rRNA from 1 species